rnacentral:lncRNA from 1 species
UGGAAGGGGUCGUUUGGAAGAGCGUUCCCAUCUCAUACUUGACAUUCAGAAUGUGAAGCCAACUCAUGUUUUCAAUGCUGCUGGUGUGACUGGUAGACCUAAUGUUGACUGGUGCGAAUCUCAUAAGCAGGAGACAAUUCGCACGAAUGUUGUGGGAACUCUGAAUUUGGCAGAUGUCUGUAGGGAUCAUGACCUGUUACUAAUGAAUUAUGCUACCGGUUGUAUUUUUGAGUAUGAUGCUAAACAUCCUGAAAGGUCGGGCAUUGGAUUCAAGGAGGAAGACAAGCCAAACUUUAUUGGAUCCUUCUAUUCAAAAACUAAAGCAAUGGUACUUUUUGUUGCAUUUAAAGAAAUUAUCUUUUCAAACUUAUGUUAUUUUGUGUAUUCUUAAAAGCUAACAAAUUAGUUAUUGUUGGGCCAUGAUGCAGGUUGAAGAGCUUUUGAGGGAAUAUGAGAAUGUCUGUACCCUUAGAGUUCGAAUGCCAAUAUCUUCUGAUCUUAGCAAUCCACGUAACUUCAUUACCAAAAUCGCUCGUUAUGACAAAGUUGUGAACAUUCCAAAUAGCAUGACGGUUUUAGACGAACUUCUCCCCAUUUCAAUUGAGAUGGCAAAGAGAAAUUGCAGAGGAAUAUGGAACUUUACCAAUCCUGGUGUGGUAAGCCACAAUGAGAUCCUAGAGAUGUACAGGAGCUACAUUGAUCCCAGUUUUAAGUGGACCAAUUUUACAUUGGAAGAACAGGCUAAAGUCAUAGUUGCACCUCGAAGCAACAAUGAGAUGGAUGCUACAAAAUUAAAGAGAGAGUUUCCUGAGUUGUUGUCCAUCAAAGAUUCUCUCAUCAAGUUUGUUUUUGAGCCAAACAAGAAGGUCCUUUCUCACUGAUAGGCUUCCUCAAUGUCACAGUUUCCCUAGACUUUGGAACUAAGCAGUUGACCCUUAGUAUUUUAAUCAUUAAUGUCAUUCAAUACUUUGCAGUAUGACUAUCAUAAUACAAACUCUGCAUCAGGAAUACUUUUUUCUAGGCGGGAGGAAAAACCUGAUUAAUUUUAUUAGGUAGUCUGCCUUGUUCUUGUUUAGGUUCUUUACAAGAGGCUAUUAUUAUUUGUCUUCUAAAUUUGUACUGUCCACUCUAUGUGGCAUGUAGUAGCUUCAUUCUGUUAAUGCAUCCAUUUAUUGUUUACAUUCUGCAUUCUAUUUGUCAUUUUUUUUCUUCUUCUACUUUGAUAAUAUUUCUAUGGAAUCUAUCUUUCGAUCUUUGUGCGCAAUGGAGUCCAAAUCAUGGAUAUCCAGUUUGAUUAUUUUUUUGAUUGUGUACAUUUUGUUUAUUAUUUUGAAUCAUUUUUUACUAGUUGAUCCUGGUGAAUUGCCAAGUAGGCAUGGAGCUAAUCUUCAGGAAGGCACCAAGUUGCCUUUCAGUAACAGGAACUCUGUUUUGACAAGAGGUUGACAUUGGAUGUUACUGUGAGAUCUCAGUCGUCAUCAGCACAAGCACUGACAUGUCGUGAUCGUGGGAUUGGACGGUGGGCUACGAGGGGGAGAAGGGAGAGGAGGGCUCGACUAUCGACUGUCGAGGGGGAGUUCUUUAUUAAAUUAAAGGAAAUAUGAAUACUAUCUAUCUCUAAAAUAUAAAAACAUGAACACCUUCCAAAAAAGCUAAAAAAGAAGAGAUUUUGAAUAAAAAUUAUCCUUUUUACUAUGCAUUAUAUAUAUAUAAAUAAAAUCUCCAUCGAAGAAGGCAACCGAUGAUAAAUAUAUUGUUGAAAGAAAUCUGCUGAACUUCUCAAGUUUCCAUUAGAAAAUAUCAGACUGGAGGAGAAUGACUUCAUUCCCCCGUAGUCGAGGCAGCAACAGCGCAAUUCACACCUGACAGGUUCGUGGAUGAAAGGAUUGAGCCGUGUUUGGCUCUCUUUCUCGUCCCAAUAAGGCUUUUAAUGAUGAACGAACGAACCAAGAAGUUGAUCGCGCCUUUUCCAGAAGAUGGCGAGAAGCGUGCUUCUGAUGGGACGCACGUGCUUCGCAUGUGAUUGUUUAGAGGUUCCUUUCACCUCCUCAAAUAUGUUCUUAUCUCUUUAACCGCCUCAUUAAUCACAUUUCUCAUCGCCGCUCUGCAUUCCCCCCGUUCCUUUUCUCAUCGCCGCUUCGCAUCCGGUGGUCCUUACUCGUUCUCCUGUCGGAAUAAGCCUUCCCCGUUCCUCCCUCCUCCUGCUCACCAUCUCGCGUAAGCUUUUCCUCUCCCUCCCUAUCCAUCUGUUGUUGGUACUUGUUUUCGAGUUGUUGCGAUGGGCAUUGCAUUACCUUCAGAUCUGGAUUUGGUUCUCGUCGGGUUUUCUCGAAUGACACGUGACCUGGACCGGAUCGGUUAUUUUCUUGUGCAUUCUGUGUUUGAUGAAUUGGCUGACCGUUUAAUGGAAUAUAGAUUUGAUGAUUUCGUUGUUGAUCCGUGGAGCCUUUUUGAUUCGAUAUUUCUGGUUCUGAUGACUCGAGAACUAUUCUUUGAUUCACAUCACAUUGAUAGAUAACUGGUUGUAUUUGUUGCUCUGUUCAAGAUAUACGGAUUUUGGUUCCUUAUUUUCGCGAUUCCGGUUGGUGUAUCUUGUUAUCGUCAAAUUCAAGCGCAGGUGGAAACCCCUAAUCGACCAAAAAUGUUCGACUUUUACCUUUUCCCCAGAAUAUUUUACGAUCCCGUUUGCCCUCUGUGAGCAAUUUAUGGUCUUCUUUUCUGUAAUUAUUGCUUCAGAUUAGUUUGCAAGUUGCUUGCUGCCAUGUGUGGACAAUGUGCGAUCUUUGUUUGGCAGAGUUCAGUCUGUAGAUGGCGCCGACGUACAAACCCAAAAACAUACUCAUAACCGGAGCGGCAGGCUUCAUUGCGUCCCAUGUCGCCAACCGCCUCGUUUGUAACUACCCCCAGUACAAGAUCGUGGUUCUCGACAAGCUUGAUUACUGCUCCAACCUCAAUAACCUCAACCCAUCACGCUCCUCUCCCAACUUCAAGUUUGUCGAGGAUGAUAUUAGGAGCGCUGACCUCAUCAACGACCUCCUGAUCACCGAAUCGAUUGAUACCAUCAUGCAUUUUGCAGCCCAGACCCAUGUUGAUAAUUCUUUUGGUAACUCCUUUGAGUUCACCAAGAACAACAUCUACGGCACCCACGUUCUCCUGGAUGCCUGCAACGUCACUGGUCGGGUUAGGAGGUUUAUCUAUGUUAGCACUGAUGAGGUCUAUGGAGAGACAGAUGAGGAUGCCACGGUUGGCAAACACGAGGGGUCUCAACUUCUGCCAACCAACCCAUACUCGGCAACAAAAGCCGGGGCUGAGAUGCUUGUUAUGGCUUAUGGAAAGUCAUACGGCUUGCCUGUGAUCACUACCCGAGGAAACAAUGUGUAUGGGCCAUUUCAAUUUCCGGAGAAGCUGAUCCCAAAAUUUAUUCUUUUGGCCAUGAGAGGGCAGCCACUUCCGAUUUACGGUGAUGGCUCCAAUGCUAGAAGCUUUUUGUACUGUGAGGAUGUUGCAGAGGCUUUUGAUGUCAUCCUCCACAGAGGAGAAGUUGGGCAUGUUUAUAAUAUCGGCACAAAGAUAGAAAGGAGAGUGAUUGAUGUGGCGAAGGACAUCUGUGCACUUUUUUCACUAGACCCAGAUAAGGUCGUUCAGUUUGUGGAGAAUCGGCCUUUCAAUGACCAGAGGUACUUUUUGGAUUAUCAGAAGCUGAAGAACCUGGGAUGGUCGGAGCGGACUGCAUGGGAUGAUGGACUCAAGAAGACGAUGGAGUGGUAUAUGAGCCAUCCAGAUUGGUGGGGAGAUGUUUCAGGAGCACUUUUGGCUCAUCCACGGAUGUUGAUGAUGCCUGGUAUUGAAAGGCAUAUUGAUGGUUCUGAAGAAACCAAGUCCAUGGCUUCUCAGUCGAUGACCUCUAAUAGUCAGAAUGGGAUGGUGCUUCCUGCCUCAAAAAGCAGUGUGAUGCCACCUAAGAAAUCAUAUUUGAAGUUCUUGAUCUAUGGUAGAACUGGAUGGAUAGGGUGCCUUCUUGGCAAGAUAUGCGAGAAGCAGGGCAUACCAUAUGAGUAUGGAAGGGGGCGUUUGGAAGAGCGUUCCCAUAUCAUACUGGACAUUCAGAACGUGAAGCCAACUCAUGUUUUCAAUGCUGCUGGUGUGACUGGUAGACCUAAUGUUGACUGGUGCGAAUCUCAUAAGCAGGAGACAAUUCGGUCGAUUGUCGUGGGAACUCUGACUUUAGCGGAUGUUUGUAGGGAGCAUGACCUGUUACUGAUGAAUUAUGCUACCGGUUGUAUUUUCGAGCAUGAUGCUAAACAUCCUGAAGUGUCGGGCACUGGAUUCACGGUGGAAGACAAUCCAAACUUUAUUGGAUCCUUCUAUUCGAAAACUAAAGCAAUGGUAAUUUUUGCCUUGCAUUUAAUGAAAUUAUCUUUUCUAACUUAAUGUUUUUUUGCAUAUUCUUAAAAGCUAACAAAUUAGUUAUUGUUGGUCUGUG